ACGGCUUAGGCUACUGAUUGAGGAUGGAAUUUCUCCGACUAAGCCCAUACCAGUUAGAUGCAAGACCUCUCAGUUGGUGAGUCUUCCAAGUUGGGCGAAGAAUGAGGACGAGUCAAAGUGGUUGUAAGCGAGAUCGAGAUACCUGAGGUGAUGAAGUCUGAAAAGACUUACUAUUAGCAUUGAGGGAGCCUCUGAGACAUGCACCAUAUAGGUCUAGCUUCGUCACUACACCGGUCUCG